ACGUACACUCCUGCGGGAGGCAGCAGUGGGGAAUAUUGCACAAUGGGCGCAAGCCUGAUGCAGCCAUGCCGCGUGUAUGAAGAAGGCCUUCGGGUUGUAAAGUACUUUCAGCGGGGAGGAAGGCGAUAAGGUUAAUAACCUUGUUGAUUGACGUUACCCGCAGAAGAAGCACCGGCUAACUCCGUGCCAGCAGCCGCGGUAAUACGGAGGGUGCAAGCGUUAAUCGGAAUUACUGGGCGUAAAGCGCACGCAGGCGGUCUGUCAAGUCGGAUGUGAAAUCCCCGGGCUCAACCUGGGAACUGCAUUCGAAACUGGCAGGCUAGAGUCUUGUAGAGGGGGGUAGAAUUCCAGGUGUAGCGGUGAAAUGCGUAGAGAUCUGGAGGAAUACCGGUGGCGAAGGCGGCCCCCUGGACAAAGACUGACGCUCAGGUGCGAAAGCGUGGGGAGCAAACAGGAUUAGAAACCCUGGUAGUCCCAU
rnacentral:rRNA from 1 species